UACGUAGGGAGCAAGCGUUGUUCGGAUUUACUGGGCGUAAAGGGCGCGUAGGCGGCGUGUCAAGUCGAUUGUGAAAGCCCCCGGCUCAACUGGGGAGGGUCACGCGAUACUGAUCGACUCGAAGGCAGGAGAGGGAAGUGGAAUUCCCGGUGUAGUGGUGAAAUGCGUAGAUAUCGGGAGGAACACCAGUGGCGAAGGCGACUUCCUGGCCUGUUCUUGACGCUGAGGCGCGAAAGCUAGGGUAGCAAACGGG
rnacentral:rRNA from 1 species